AAACACAGUAAAGUUCAGCGGGGCAGAGCGCACAGUACCCCUCCCUCCCCCCACACCUCCGCAGCUUUCCUCCCCUUUAUCCAUCUCCUCCGCCACUCAGCUCCUCCACCGCCGUGGCGCCGAUUCAGAGACACUGCCGACGGCGGUGUGGCAGAUCGAACUGGGGCAAGUCGAUCCGGCAAAGCAUAUAGGUAACAAAUCAACAGAACUCGUCAAACCCGUACCAGAUCGGAAAUAUCCAUCUCGAUACUGAACUAUAUUCAUCUCAUAUUCCCCAAUUCUUUGCUGAGCUAUGCUAAAAAAACGGGGGCGGAGGACGCGGCCACCUGGUUGGCGUCAACGGCGAGCGUCCGACAGGCCGUCAGUCUCAUUCAGUUUUCUGUCGCCCCGCCCUAGAUGAAGGUGUUGUGUUAGCUGAUGGCACGGAGCUCGUACCUGCAACUAUUGACAAAGCAUGUUAGGUACAGGAAUAUUGAAAGAUGACUGGCGAAGUAUGGUACAUCCCAUGGGACAAAAUCAAUUUACCUUCUGGUGUCACCGCUCUACUGAAAUCAUCCAUCAGGACUGGCCCAGCAUUGUCUAUUCCGAGGUCAUAUGAGGGAACCUCUGUGUUAAGCGCUGCAUUAGGGCCAUAUACCCAUUGCCUACCAUCUGCUGCUUUGGCCUGGAUUGGCAUUUGUUCAUGCACCACAGUGUCAUUUGUUACUUCAUUGUCUUGGUCUGCUGCCGCGACCAGUCCUUCCAGAUUCUUAAUCGCCGGGACAAAUGGCCGAACGUGGUGAAAAUGGCGACUCUUCUCCGGACUCUUCAGGUGAGACAUCAUCACCUGUAUCGUCAAUACAAAGGUGGAUCUGAUAGGCAUGGUCAGAAACAAAUCACUCAGCAUGGAUCACUGCACGUUCGACCUAUAUGAUGGCACUGGGUCCGUUAAUGUAUACUUCUGGUUUGAUGGCCGUCAAGACUCCAAGGAUGCUUGGUCGUUCAACGAAGGCAUGUAUGUACGUGUUGUUGGGAGGGCUACCAGUUUGGAGCAAUUUUUCCAAAUCAAAGCCUACAUGGUCAGGACCGUAAAGAACUUCAAUGAUAUAACCCAUCACUUUAUCUACUGCAUCAAGGCCCAUAUCAAUAUUUCUAAGCAGAGCAGACUAAAGGAAAAUUCCGUUGCCACCCCGUCAGCAUCAACCGUCAUGCCAAGGUAUCAGAUUGCUCCGAGCCAGAUACCAGAAGAUUGCAGCUUUGAGGAGAAGAUAUUUUCNNNNNNNNNNGCUAUUUCCCCGAUGUGCAAUAGAGUUCUGCACGUUAACAACAUAAAGUUCUGUAUGCAGUGACAUGGAUCAUGGGGUAAGUCUAAAGCUGCUUCGCAGCGCACUUGGCGCAAGUCAAGACGAUAUCAUGAAAGUAAUAAUAGAGCAAAUCCGACUCGGUGAGAUGUACACUACUAUCGGUGAACGCCAUUUCAAGUCUUCAAACUGAAGACGUUCAUUGUAUCGUCGCAAUGCUAUGGGUGAUACUUCGUUUUUGUCACCAGCCCCAACGCCCCCCUUGCAAAUCUGCUGGUUUCAGACUAAUUAGGCCCGUAUUAUUUUUGUAAUAAUAAUUAUCAACUCAGUGAUAUUAUCUUGCUAGGGCUUUUUGUACCCCAUUGGGAAGGAUUAUUUUGCACUUCAUUGCUCCACAUGUUUGUGUAAAGAUGUAAUCCCACUCCUUGAUUAAUCUGGUUCUAGAGAUAGUGCCACUAUUCCCUGCUCACACAGCUACGCUACCAACUCCUGUUCACUCCUGUUUCCUCUCCAUUCACCUUCUGUUCCCUCCUGUUUCCUCUCCAUCCAGCUACCAACUCCCACCCUCGCUUGUUCAUGUCCAGCAUCAUUCCCACAUCGGUUCUUGACAAUGACAACCUUCUGGUAGAAAUCCUUACUAGGCUAUCAUGCACUCGUUCACUUAUUCGCAGCUCAGCUGUUAAUCCCCAAUGGAUGUCUGUAUCUAGAUCUCAGUCUUUCCUUCAGGCAUAUUCUCGUCGCAAUCGCCCGGCAGUGCUCGGAUUCUUGGCAGAGUUCGAGCGUGGUUAUAGUCUCCAUUUUCGUGUUGUGGAUGCAUUAGCUUUUCAAGGUGAGUCGACUAGAGCUCUGCUUCGUUCCCGUAUAGAUGAUUAUUCCCUAUCACAGAAACGCAUACUAGCAUCUGAAUCUGGUGAGCUGCUAGUAAGUAUUAUCAACCCUCCCUUCGUUUCCUCUGAAACGGGCGAGACUGUCGUCGAUGGCUACUACACCUUGUUCCCUAGCUCGUUUCCACCAGUAUACUACUUGGUUGCGUCUCGUAUCCCUCGAGUCCCUCGCAUGCAUGGCCAGCACAGCCCAAACUUUUACGGCCAAUUUGGCAUUCUGCCAGCAGCCGGCCAGAUCGGGUUCUCUUUCUUUGUCAAGGACGCAGCCGGCCCUUUUCUGAAAACAUACGAUGGUAUUAAAUUCAGGUCUAAAUCUGAUUUCCACGUAUAUGUAUGUGUUUUCAGAGGUGGUGUUUGGUCAAGAUUUGUGUCGGCUCCUUUUGAAUAUCGUUCUCCUUGCAUCUUUCACUUAGAUCCUUACUCCGUUUUAGCCGGGAGCUCAUUAUACAUGAUGUAUGUCGUGGGCAUGAUCAUCUGUUUCGACAUUCCUAGCUCUACGUUCACUGUUGUCCAUCUACCAAUAUCAGCCAGAUCCUGUUUUGACUACAGUGUUUCCCUAAACGAGUCUGGCAUCUUGUCUCUUGUUAACUGUUCACAUGGCUUGCUCAAUACGUGGCUGCUUCAACUAGUACACGGCCGCUUGCAGUGGAGCUGUUGCUCAAGAUUAGAUUUAGUAAAGGCAUUUUCUAGCAGGGGUGGACCUACCAUAUGGCAGUCUGCAUUUGGCAUGGAGUACGGGGAGGUUGGCCCUGGUGAUUUCUACUCCGUUCAGAUCAGAUCAGCCAGCAAGAACUCAUCAGUUGUUCUGCUAACCUUCGCAUUCGACCAUGGCAUGUUUGUCGUGGACACUGUUAACGACACUGUUAAUGAGGUUCACUGGUUGCCCGAGGAUGGAGACAUGAGGCAAGCAUUCCCCUUGACGGAGCGUUGGCCACCGACUUUCCGUGACUGAAGACUCCGCCACUGUUUGUUCAACAACUAUCAUGGUCCAACCAUUAUGUUGUGUAUGUAAUGGGAUCCUUGUGUCCAUGAUACUAUUGUAUUGCAUUUGUAAUGAACUCGUUGUGUCCAUGAGACUAUGAUUUUGCAUUCCCCCCUGCUUGUAACAGAUGAACAAUUGAGGAACCAUAAUCUAUGUAUCGGUUUUUCACUUCGCCUC
rnacentral:rRNA from 1 species